rnacentral:tRNA from 1 species
AGCUAAUGAACUUGAAUAAGUAUAUAUUUUGAAAAUAUAGUAUAGAAGUUAAAUCUUCUAUUAGCUUAA